rnacentral:lncRNA from 1 species
AAAAUAUCACUGUUCUAUUGGUGUUUGCAUUUCAAUUUCAAGUUUAAUUAUUAGCUAGGCUUCUCUUAGUUCAUGGUUUGUCAGUUGAAAUUCAGAAACUAUUCCAUUGGUGUUUGUUUCUGAUUGUUGUGGUUUUCUGGGUUGUAUUUCAAGUUAAAUUGGUGUUCGAGCUAUGUGUGUGGGCGAUUUCUAUUUUUAUACUGGGUUUCAAAGUUAUUUCUGGACUGCUUGAGUUAAAUCUGGAGUUACUGUUGAUUUCUGCUCUUCACUGCUAUUUGAAUUGCUGAGUAUCAGUUUAAUUACUUGCUGCUGAUCUCUUCUAUUCCUUUUCUGUCCUGUUUCCAGGUAUUCAUCUCCCCCUUGAGUAAUGUAUGGUUGUCAAAUUGAUUGAAGCUUAAUUGAAAGAUAAUUCGAAGUGCGAAUGUUUAUUACUUCUUUAGUUCCCAUAUUUUGUAUUCACUUUGAAUGGUUAAGUCAUGUUAGUAUUGAAAUUUGAAUAAGCAAAACUUGUUUAAAUUGGUGUAAUGUGGACUGUAGUUAGUACUUUAACAUUACUUGGAUUGUCACUUUGGAUUUUCAGCUUGUAGUAGUUGUUGAGAUAUGUAAUCGUAUAAUUGCAUCAUUUGAGCUAGAAGGUUGUACUAUUAUAGCACAUGAUCUGAAAUAAUGGGACUGAUGCAUAACAAUAUUGAUGAGUUGAUUCGAGUGUAUUUUAGAUU